UCGCUUUCACUUGUCAACAGCAUACUACCGUACGGUAAGAACUUCGAGGACUCGUUCGCCACGAUCUACUCGGACGGGAGCGUGUCGUGGCUGUACCCGGUCACCACCCGGACCACCUGCUCCCUGGACGUCACGUACUUCCCGUACGACGAACAGACGUGCACCCUGCAGUUCGGCUCCUGGUCGUUUGACGGACUCAAAAUCGACAUUUAUAACAAGUCAUCAACUGGAGAUACCAGCAGCUACAAGAGAAAUGAAGAGUGGGAUCUGGUGAGCUUUGAGGUUACACGUUCCGUGUACGUGUACGACUGUUGUCCUGAGCCGUACCCCAGUCUGACCUACCGGGCCAACCUGAGGAGGAAAACUCUGUUCUACAACAUCAACGUCAUCGCGCCCUGCAUCCUCAUGCUCUU